rnacentral:rRNA from 1 species
CAGUCGCCACGGUAACACGGAGGGUGCAAGCGUUAAUCGGAAUUACUGGGCGUAAAGCGCACGCAGGCGGUCUGACAAGUCAGAUGUGAAAUCCCCGGGCUUAACCUGGGAACUGCAUUUGAAACUGUCAGGCUGGAGUCUUGUAGAGGGGGGUAGAAUUCCAGGUGUAGCGGUGAAAUGCGUAGAGAUCUGGAGGAAUACCGGUGGCGAAGGCGGCCCCCUGGACAAAGACUGACGCUCAGGUGCGAAAGCGUGGGGAGCAAACAGGAUUAGAUACCCGUGUAGUUCCUGUCUCUUAUAC